AGCUCGGUAGCUUAGUUGCUAAAGCACUUUUUUAGUAUAUAAUAGUCGUGGGUUCGAAUCCCACCAGAGCAC
rnacentral:tRNA from 1 species